rnacentral:lncRNA from 1 species
CCCCCCCGCUUCAUUAUCAUGUGUUCUUUGAGACGGAGGUUGUCCUUGUCUACGACGACCUCUUUUAGCAGGAGGAUUGCCGGCAGUAGCCUCUCGUCGAGCAGAAGAAUGUGCCUGACUCGGUCUACCAAGCCUGCUUCUUCCAAUAUUGUGUUCCAUAUCUAAACAAAAACAAAAAAACAAAACAAAACACCAUGAUCAAAAAUAAUUCAACAAUAUAUGGUUAUUUCCAAACUCAAACAUAUACAUUAUGCAUUCCAUUCCAAUUCAGUCGUUUUCACGAAUUAUAUUGCACACAAUUUCAAGCAUAUGCAUUACCAAUCUUCAUUGACACAUUUUUACAAACACAUAGAGUACGAAAUGCAAAUCUACAACAUAUGCUUGAGUUUAUGCUACAAGCUAGCCAAACACUUGUCUUAAAAAACGAAUGAUCAACAAUUUAAUCACUUAAUAACGAAUGAAUUUUCAGAUGAACAAUGGAUAACAACAAAAUAUCGAUGCAAAUGAAAAUUGAUGAAAAUUGGAUGAUAUUUGUUGAUGAAAAUUGGAUGACAAUUAAUAAGAAUGCAUAAUAACAGUAACUUACUAAUUGAUCAGAGGUUGAUGAUAUUUGUUGAUGUAGAUGCAAGCUAUGCGUUCCUUUUCUCCCUUUGCAGCCCUAACC